rnacentral:lncRNA from 1 species
GGGGGAGCAAUAUGAUCGUUGAACUCAAUCUCUGUUAUGUUGGUUUUUGAUGAUGACAAGUAACAACACAUGAAUGUUGUCAUGUCACAACAGAAAAGUGUUUUUGUGUUAUGAAAUGCAUAUGUAAUAUGUAUAUGCUUACUGUGUUAUAUGCACAUACUGUGAUAAAUGCAUAUGUUGGACAUAUUAUGUUAGUUAUGCA